AAAGUGUAAAGUGAAUGUGUACUGAAAGAAAAAAAUAACUCUUUUUUUUCUCAUAGCUCACAGUAAAAAUGAACUGGAAUCCGCAGAACCUAGCAUAGCACCUACGACUGAAUUACCAUUGAACACACUGGCUCCCUGGGAAAAAAAGUUUGUUCCUUCUACACCUAAACCAUCUGCCAGACCCAAAAUGCCACGAACUAAACCUGAAAAAGCAAUUCAUUUGGAAAGCAAUACACCUAAAUUUUCUAACACCCUUGAACUGCCAAGGACAACACUAGCACCCAGUAAAACAAAACGAAUUCCUUCCAAGCCUAAAGUCUCUCUCCAUCCAGAAGAACCCAAGACAAAACCGGUUUCAUAUGAACCACAACACAUUCCUUCCAAACCUAAAGCAUCUGCCAGUGCCAUGCCAGAAAUGCCACAUAGUAAACCUGAAUCCAGUGAAAUACAUUUCACACCUUUGAAGCCCAAAUCAUCUACUGAACCUAAAAUGCCUCAAUCUAAACCUGCUCCAACUGAAACACAGUUCAUUCCUUCCAAACCUAACACGUCCCCAGAGCCAGAACUACCACAUCCUAAACCUGCUCCAAAAGAGACACGACGUGUUCCUUUGAAACCUAAAACAUCACCCAAACCUCAUGUGCCACAGACAAAACCUGGUAAAUGAUUUUCUGUGUCCUAUCGAAGUUUAUCUCUAA
rnacentral:lncRNA from 1 species